CAGCCAUCUUAGGGAAACGUUUCCCUUCCCCGCAGUCUCCAUUUUAUGUUCCUGACGCAGAAAAUAAAAAGGUCAGUGAUUCCGUGCCGGGCUGGCGGAGCGAGCGCUGCCGCGGGCGCCGGGCGGGCUCGGGACAGGGAUGCUCGCCCUCUGAAGAAUCGUGUUUCCUGGGCUGUUGGGGUCCACUCCGGCUGGCUAUAGACCCUUGCCACACGAUACUUCAUAGACGAAGCUGUAGCAAUGUGCUCUUGGCUGGAAAGUUUUUUAAAUGCUCUGCAACAAAGCAAUCUUUGGCCGCUGCUGGCUGCAGGGGAGCUUUGCCACCCUCCCGCUGUCUCAGCCGAGCAGUGAGGCCGAUGCCACGGUGGAGCUCCAGGAAGGAUCGCAGCAGCCCCUCCCGUCUGUGCGACCCCCGGCACCACGGCCCAAUCCCCUCCUGCGCUGAGGAGCGAGGGAGCCGCCGGAAAGGUGGGAAUCCUGGGGGGGACACGAUGCCCGACAGGCAGGAGGAAUGAUGUGUGGAACUCUAUGACAUUACAAGGCUAAUUAAUUCCUUCAUUAUACUAUAACUAUAUUAUAGAACAUUCCAUUAACAAGAACUAUUACUAACCAGAAAACUCGUGACUGGCUGUAGACCGCCAGUCCACACAGCUCGCACUUGAUGGCUAAUUAACAUAAACAACUAUCACACAGUCCAAUUAAGGACUCGCUUUAGGUAAACGAUUUUAUCAACACAUUCUACGUGUGCAAAACACCAGGAGCAGCAAGUAGAGAUAAGAAUUGUUUUCUCUGCUUCUCUCACAGCUUCCCUCCAUUCAGAGGGAAUGUGAAUACCACAGGAAUCGUUCCCAUGGGAUGCUGCUGCUCCCAGGGCAGGGUCUGUGCCAGCCGGAGCUCUGCCACACACAGAGGGGCAUUACCCGGCCUGGGAGGUUUAGGGGCUGGGCUGGGGUUGGGCAUCUCUGGGUCGCUCUUCCAGCACCAAACCUGCAAACGCUUUCCUGAAAGGGAGAAACACGGCUCGCUAUUUUAAUAAA